CUACGGGGUGCUGCAGUAAGGAAUAUUGCGCAAUGGAGGCAACUCUGACGCAGCCAUGCCGCGUGCAGGACUGAAGGCCUUAUGGGUCGUAAACUGCUUUUAUUUAGGAAUAAACUUUCGUACGUGUACGAGACUGAAGGUACUAAAUGAAUAAGCACCGGCUAACUCCGUGCCAGCAGGCCGCGGUAAUACGGAGGGUGCAAGCGUUAUCCGGAUUUAUUGGGUUUAAAGGGUGCGCAGGCGGACUAUUAAGUCAGAGGUGAAAUACCGGAGCUCAACUUCGGAACUGCAUUUGAUACUGGUAGUCUUGAAUACGGUUGAAGUAGGCGGAAUGUAGCAUGUAGCGGUGAAAUGCAUAGAGAUGCUGCAGAACACCGAUCGCGAAGGCAGCUUACUAAGCCGAUAUUGACGCUCAGGCACGAAAGCGUGGGGAGCGAACAGGAUUAGAUACCCUGGUAGUC
rnacentral:rRNA from 1 species